CGCAGCUUAGGUGUGUCAUGGGAUAUAGGAACUGACGAGAUAACAUUUCAAAUAUCCCCAGAUGUGAAACCAUUCACUCGACGUGGAGCACUUUCCACUAUUAAUAGCAUUUACGACCCGGUUGGCUUUGCAGCCCCUGUGAUAAUUCGUGGAAAGUUGUUACUACGAGAGAUGAUAGGAUCUAGUGUAGUUAACUGGGACGACAUUCUGUCAGAUUCGUAUCUGGAACAGUGGGAAGCAUGGGUAACUUCACUCAAAGGUCUUGAAACUUUGCGAAUACCUCGUAUGUAUACCACAGUGUCAUUUGCCACAGCAACUUUGCGUGAGAUACAUAUUUUUUCUGAUGCCUCAAAAGAAGCAAUUGGUGCAGUAGCGUACCUAAAACUUAGUGAUGGGAAUUCUACUGAGAUAAGUUUUGUAAUGGGCAAAGCAAAGGUUGCACCAUCCACAGGGCACACUAUACCCCGUUUAGAAUUGUGCGGCGCUGUACUUGCAGUAGAAAUGACUGACAUCAUCAAAGAACACCUGAAAAUAGAAACUGAAAACAUGUAUUUUUAUACGGAUAGUCAAGUUGUCCUUGGCUAUAUCAACAACAAAAGUCGUCGGUUUUACGUCUAUGUCUGUAAUAGGAUAAGUAGAAUCCGUGCAUCAAGCGACCCAGGACAGUGGCGUUAUGUGUCUAGUGAAAUGAAUCCAGCUGAUAUCGCAACAAGAAGCGUACAGGCAGCAACUCUUCGGAAUACUACAUGGUUUCGCGGACCAUCAUUUCUUCUACAAGAAAUUGACCUUACUUCGAAAACAGAUCAUAAUUUAGUUGAUCCUGAAUUGGAUCGAGAGGUCAGACCUGAAAUAAAAACUCUCAAAACUACGUCUGUAGAAAGUAAGCCAUUAGAAUCAGUCUCUUCACGAUUUGACAGAUACUCUGAGUGGAGAAAACUCGUGUCAGCGAUCAAUUGUCUUAGAAGCAAAAUUAAACAUUACAAAUCAGUAAAGACAUUAAAGUCUAAUACCAUGAAUGUUGUAGAACAACUACUGGAAACCGAACGUUUCAUUGUCAAGGAAGUUCAAAAAGAAGGAUUUCAAGAGGAUAUAGAUCCUUUGAUGGGAUGCAACAAACGUCUCCCAAGAAAUAGUUCACUUCUACCCUUAAACCCGUUUCUUGAUUCAAAUGGACUUCUUAGAGUAGGAGGACGUAUCAAACAUAGCGAGCUAAGUGACUCAUGUAAACAACCUAUUAUUAUUCCAAAAGGACAUCAUAUUGCAAUUCUACUCAUAUGCCACUAUCAUGUAAGGGUUGCGCAUCAAGGUAGAUCGUUUACAGAAGCAGCGAUUAGAAAUGCAGGCUAUUGGAUUGUUGGUGUUAAACGUCUUAUAAAUUCAGUCAUACGGAAGUGUGUGCAGUGUAAGAAAUUACGAGGAAAACUUUGUACUCAGCAGAUGGCUGAUUUGCCGAAAGACAGGUUAACUCCAAGUCCCCCCUUUUCGUAUGUAGGGGUUGAUGCAUUUGGCCCAUGGCCAGUUACGUUUCGUCGUACACGAGGUGGUGUAUCCCAAUCAAAACGUUGGGCUCUGUUAUUUGCUUGUCUGGUUACUAGAGCUAUUCAUCUGGAAGUUAUUGAGGAACUGAGCAGCUCUUCGUUCAUAAAUGCUUGGCGUCGAUUCAUCGCACUUAGAGGACCAGUUCGACAAGUGAGAUCCGAUAGAGGUACAAACUUUGUGGGGGCAACUCAGGAUCUUUCGAUGAUUGCUCAAUUUGUUGAAGACCGUAAUGUUCAGAACUUUUUAAACGACAAUCGAAUUACAUGGCAGUUUAACCCGCCCCAUGCCUCUCAUUUCGGUGGAGCAUGGGAACGACUUAUCGGAGUGUCUAGGAGAAUAUUGGACUCAUUGCUGUUAGAAAACCGUUUCAAAGACUUGACUCAUGAGAUGUUGACCACCUUUUUAGCAGAAGUUACUGCAAUUGUCAACAACCGACCAUUGACAUGUGUAUCGUAUGACUCUGAGUCACCAAGUGUCAUCACUCCGUCUCUUCUGCUCACUCAAAAAACAGCAGACGACACUUGUCCAUUUCCCGAUUUUGAGAAAAAAGACUCUAUAAGACAUCAUUGGAAGUAUGUGCAAUUUCUCGCUCAACAAUUCUGGGCAAAGUGGCGACAGGAAUAUUUACAUUCAUUGCAAGUACGACCUAAAUGGCAAACGGAAGAACAAAAUGUUAAAGUUGGAACAGUAGUACUCAUGAAAGACAAUAAUUGUGCAAGAAAUUACUGGCCAACUGGUAUAGUUGAAAGAGUUUUCCCCAGUGAGGAUGGAAAAAUUCGUAAAGUUGAACUUAGAAUCAUUCGUGAUGGUCAACCAGUGACUUAUGUGAGACCAAUAUCUCAAAUCGUUUUGCUUGUUGAGCCUGAAUAA
rnacentral:sRNA from 1 species